rnacentral:rRNA from 1 species
AUACAUGCAGUCGAACGGGAUUAGGACUUCGGUUCUAUGAGAGUGGCGUACGGGUGCGUAACGCGUAUGCAACCUACCUUCAUCAGGGGGAUAGCCCGAAGAAAUUCGGAUUAACACCGCAUAAAAACACAGACUGGCAUCAGUCAAUGUUCAAAUAUUUAUAGGAUGAAGAUGGGCAUGCGUGUCAUUAGCUAGUUGGUAAGGUAACGGCUUACCAAGGCGACGAUGACUAGGGGAUCUGAGAGGAUGACCCCCCACACUGGUACUGAGACACGGACCAGACUCCUACGGGAGGCAGCAGUAAGGAAUAUUGGUCAAUGGAGGCAACUCUGAACCAGCCAUGCCGCGUGCAGGAAGACAGCCCUAUGGGUCGUAAACUGCUUUUAUGUCGGAAUAAACCUAGGUACGUGUACUUAGCUGAAUGUACGGCAAGAAUAAGGAUCGGCUAACUCCGUGCCAGCAGCCGCGGUAAUACGGAGGAUCCAAGCGUUAUCCGGAUUUAUUGGGUUUAAAGGGAGCGUAGGCGGCUUAUUAAGUCAGGGGUGAAAGACGGUGGCUCAACCAUCGCAGUGCCUUUGAUACUGAUGAGCUUGAAUGUAGUUGAGGUAGGCGGAAUGUGACAAGUAGCGGUGAAAUGCAUAGAUAUGUCACAGAACACCAAUUGCGAAGGCAGCUUACUAAACUAUGAUUGACGCUGAGGCUCGAAAGCGUGGGGAUCAAACAGGAUUAGAUACCCUGGUAGUCCACGCCCUAAACGAUGAUAACUCGAUGUUUGCGAUAUACAGUAAGCGUCCAAGCGAAAGCGUUAAGUUAUCCACCUGGGGAGUACGGUCGCAAGAUUGAAACUCAAAGGAAUUGACGGGGGCCCGCACAAGCGGAGGAGCAUGUGGUUUAAUUCGAUGAUACGCGAGGAACCUUACCCGGGCUUGAAAGUUACUGAAUAACUCAGAGAUGAGUUAGUCCUUCGGGACAGGAAACUAGGUGCUGCAUGGCUGUCGUCAGCUCGUGCCGUGAGGUGUUGGGUUAAGUCCCGCAACGAGCGCAACCCCUAUGUUUAGUUGCCAGCGGGUUAAGCCGGGGACUCUAAACAGACUGCCUGUGCAAACAGAGAGGAAGGAUGGGACGACGUCAAGUCAUCAUGGCCCUUACGUCCGGGGCUACACACGUGCUACAAUGGACGGUACAGAGGGCUGCUACUUAGCAAUAAGAUGCCAAUCUCAAAAAGCCGUUCACAGUUCGGAUCGGGGUCUGCAACUCGACCCCGUGAAGUUGGAUUCGCUAGUAAUCGCGUAUCAGCAAUGACGCGGUGAAUACGUUCCCGGGCCUUGUACACACCGCCCGUCAAGCCAUGAAAGUUGGGGGUACCUAAAGC